rnacentral:misc_RNA from 1 species
UUUCCGUAGGUGAACCUGCGGAAGGAUCAUUCAUAAUAAGUGUUUUAUGGCACUUUUUUAAAUCCAUAUCCACCUUGUGUGCAAUGUCAGGGUUGAUUUUUCUCUCGAGAGGAACAACCCCAAACAUCAACUAUAUCUCAACUCUUUGUCUGAAAAAUAUUAUGAAUACUUAAUUCUAAAUACAACUUUCAACAACGGAUCUCUUGGCUCUC